rnacentral:sRNA from 1 species
UUACUUGUCAUCUUCGUCCCAACUAUUAGGGAUAUCUUUGGUUUUAUUGGUGCAUCUGCAGCUUCUAUGUUGAUUUUUAUUCUUCCUUCUGCCUUCUAUAUCAAGUUGGUGAAGAAAGAACCUAUGAAAUCUGUACAAAAGAUUGGGGUGAGUGAAAGAUUAUGACCAUAGAAACAGUAAUAAUAUCAUAAAUUUCCCCAACUGAUUUUAAUUUUAUUCUAGCUGUAAUUUGUUGUGGUUUCACUUUUAAGUUUCCAGUAAACAUUUCUGUAAUGGUAUACUUCACAGAUGGAAGAUUGCAGAGGGAAGGGGAAAGAUAGUUUGCCAUCUAAUAAAUACAAGUUAAUUGCAAUAAAGUUAUUAGAUACUUUGGAGAUAGGAAUAGGGAUGAAGACUAGUGUGAGAUACUCAGCUUUCAACAUUUGUUCAACCAGUUUUCACUGGACUGCCUACAGUGUGACAGGCACUUAAAUGGGCAUUGAAUAUAUAAAAGAGAAGGAAGGGCUCUUUAGUUGCAUGAGACUGACCAUCUUCAGAGCGAAGCUCUCAGGGAGGCCAUCUCUUCAUAGUGUUU